rnacentral:tRNA from 1 species
UCCUGGGCCAUUAGCUCAGGUGGUUAGAGCGCACCCCUGAUAAGGGUGAGGUCCCUGGUUCAAGUCCAGGAUGGUCCAU